UCUUUAUCUAUAUUGGUUGAUGCCAGGAUCUGAUGUGCGGAAAGAUAUUUGUGCUGGGCUAAAUGUAACUCAGUUGAUAACUAAACCAAUUCUCCCCAACUUCAAACACCCCGAAACAUCUUCUCCGAUAGAUAUUGUUCAAAUGCCCCUCAUCAAUUUUACAGCCAAUGGGAUAUUUGCCAAUGAGUUCAUUGUCCGAUUGCCGGUAUAAGAGAUAUUAAACUACCUAAAUCUCACUCACACAUUAUUAUAAAGAUACAUUUGAGGAAUUACAUUUUAUUAGUCUGAGCUGGGUUUGAGUGACUUGGGGGGUUGUGUCAACAAUCAGUGACUCAAAUUAGGCUCUUAAUGACUCCACCCCCUCGUUACCUCAGCAGGUUCUGACAGCCUCUGGUCCCAUUCUAGACUAAAUGACUCCACCCCCUCGUUACCCCAGCAGGUUCUGACAGCCUCUGGUCCCAUUCUAGACUAAAUGACUCCACCCCCUCGUUACCCCAGCAGGUUCUGACAGCCUCUGGUCCCAUUCUAGACUAAAUGACUCCACCCCCUCGUUACCCCAGCAGGUUCUGACAGCCUCUGGUCCCAUUCUAGACUAAAUGACUCCACCCCCUCGUUACCCCAGCAGGUUCUGACAGCCUCUGGUCCCAUUCUAGACUAAAUGACUCCACCCCCUCGUUACCCCAGCAGGUUCUGACAGCCUCUGGUCCCAUUCUAGACUAAAUGACUCCACCCCCUCGUUACCCCAGCAGGUUCUGACAGCCUCUGGUCCCAUUCUAGACUAAAUGACUCCACCCCCUCGUUACCCCAGCAGGUUCUGACAGCCUCUGGUCCCAUUCUAGACUAAAUGACUCCACCCCCUCGUUACCCCAGCAGGUUCUGACAGCCUCUGGUCCCAUUCUAGACUAAAUGACUCCACCCCCUCGUUACCCCAGCAGGUUCUGACAGCCUCUGGUCCCAUUCUAGACUAAAUGACUCCACCCCCUCGUUACCUCAGCAGGUUCAUCCGGCAAACUGCUUUAAAGGAUCAUCUCUGAAAAUGAUCUCAUCAUAGAGGUGGAGGAGGUGGAGGGGGAGCCCUUUAGUCAC